AUUAGAUCAUUUUAUUCAAAUCCCUAACAUGAAUUGCUUUUCUUUUGUACAGAUGCCGUUGAUCGAUCGAUCGAUUAGUCAGUGACGUUCGCCCUCCUUCCGAUUUUUGACGAUCAUGUAUAAAUAUAUUGCUCUUUUUGUUUCUCGAGUUAAAUGGUCGUCGACGACCUGAAGAUAUUUUCCUCUACUCAAAUCAUGAACAAAAAAGAAAAGAAAAAGUACAAAAGCAAAUCAAAACCAUCCGGUUUUGGUACUCCUAGAAAACGCAGAAGAAGAGGCAAAACCCGUCGUUUGACUAGGAGACGGCAGCGAUCAGCAAGGGUAGCGAUCAAAGCUCAUCAGUUUCCGGUUACGGG
rnacentral:misc_RNA from 1 species